GCCUGCGCACGCUUUACGCCCAGUAAUUCCGAUUAACGCUUGGACCCUACGUAUUACCGCGGCUGCUGGCACGUAGUUAGCCGGUCCUUAUUCUUCCGGUACCGUCAUCGACCCCAGGUAUUAACCAGAGCCAUUUCUUUCCGGACAAAAGUGCUUUACAACCCGAAGGCCUUCUUCACACACGCGGCAUUGCUGGAUCAGGCUUUCGCCCAUUGUCCAAAAUUCCCCACUGCUGCCUCCCGUAGGAGUCUGGGCCGUGUCUCAGUCCCAGUGUGGCUGAUCGUCCUCUCAGACCAGCUACUGAUCGUCGCCUUGGUGGGCCUUUACCCCACCAACUAGCUAAUCAGACAUCGGCCGCUCCUAUAGCAUGAGGCCUUGCGGUCCCCCACUUUCACCCUCAGGUCGUAUGCGGUAUUAGCUAAUCUUUCGACUAGUUAUCCCCCACUACAGGGCACGUUCCGAUGUAUUACUCACCCGUUCGCCACUCGCCAUCAAUCUAGCAAGCUAGAUCAUGCUGCCGUUCGACUUGCAUGUGUAAGGCAUGCCGCCAGCGUUCAAUCUGAGCCAGGAUCAAACUC
rnacentral:rRNA from 1 species